rnacentral:piRNA from 1 species
UGUCAAUCUUUUCAGACAUGCUCCGGUCGG